GAAGGCGUUCUUAGUUUAGUUUAAUAGAAUGUGAGUCUCCAAAACCUAAUGCCUAGGUUCAAAUCCUACAAAGCG
rnacentral:tRNA from 1 species